GCCACAGCGUAUUUUAAAAGAAUGUGGGGAUCUGAACGGGCUGGUAGGAGUAGUUGCAUGGCACUGGUAAUUACACUAUAUUGGCAACCACUUGAGCCAGGUCAUAUGACCUACCAGGAAGUUAUAAAAGGCUGCCAAGAUGGAAUCUCAUUCUCUUGCUGCUAUGUCUUACAACUGGACAUGGGGGUGACUGCUAGCAGCAUGUAACUCUUCAUGGAGGACGCGGAGGCGACUGCAAUUUUAUCAUUUGACGUGAUCCCCUACGGGCUGCUGGGCUACAGACAUUGAGGCUCUGGGGCAGCAGUCUCAGCAGGGAGGCCCAGACUUCCCUCUCCCCGGCCACUUCAUCCAGCUCCUCUGGGGGGAUCCCGAUGCGUUAGUUGGGCCUCCUGAGCCGAGAGCUGGCCGUGCUGACCUGACCUUACUAUCUGGAGGAUAGUCAGCCGCCCGCCCCCCCCCAGCAACCUUCUUUGUCUAAUUGAUUUUAGAUAUUUGUAAUAAAGUGGAUUGGAUUUUAUUUUUA